GAUCAUGGCUCAGAUUGAACGCUGGCGGCAGGCCUAACACAUGCAAGUCGAACGGUAACAGGAAUCAGCUUGCUGAUUCGCUGACGAGUGGCGGACGGGUGAGUAAUGUCUGGGAAACUGCCUGAUGGAGGGGGAUAACUACUGGAAACGGUAGCUAAUACCGCAUAACGUCGCAAGACCAAAGAGGGGGACCUUCGGGCCUCUUGCCAUCGGAUGUGCCCAGAUGGGAUUAGCUAGUAGGUGGGGUAACGGCUCACCUAGGCGACGAUCCCUAGCUGGUCUGAGAGGAUGACCAGCCACACUGGAACUGAGACACGGUCCAGACUCCUACGGGAGGCAGCAGUGGGGAAUAUUGCACAAUGGGCGCAAGCCUGAUGCAGCCAUGCCGCGUGUAUGAAGAAGGCCUUCGGGUUGUAAAGUACUUUCAGCGGGGAGGAAGGGAGUAAAGUUAAUACCUUUGCUCAUUGACGUUACCCGCAGAAGAAGCACCGGCUAACUCCGUGCCAGCAGCCGCGGUAAUACAA
rnacentral:rRNA from 1 species